UACGAAGGGGGCUAGCGUUGCUCGGAAUCACUGGGCGUAAAGGGUGCGUAGGCGGGUCUUUAAGUCAGGGGUGAAAUCCUGGAGCUCAACUCCAGAACUGCCUUUGAUACUGGUGAUCUUGAGUCCGGGAGAGGUGAGUGGAACUGCGAGUGUAGAGGUGAAAUUCGUAGAUAUUAGGAAGAACACCAGUGGCGAAGGCGGCUCACUGGCCCGGUACUGACGCUCAUGUGCGAAAAGCGUGGGGGAGCAAAACAGG
rnacentral:rRNA from 1 species